CAAAGCAAGCAUUUCGUCUGUGGCCCUCAUUCUUGCUCAAGAUAGGAAAACACCACUGCCUGCCACUUCCUGUCCCUCAACCAGGAGAGAAGAUAGGACAGACGGACACAGGGCGUGGAGGUUCUUAUGCCAGAGCUCUUGGGAUGAUUUCAGGUAUGAAUGGCAGCUCCAAAAUGCUAGAGAUGGUCCUUUGAGGAAGCUGAGGGGACCACAAACACCCUUCAUCUUCAUUCCGUGAGUCAAUACUUCAGAAAGGGGUGCACACUGCAGUGAGGGACGGGCUUCUUUGGUGUCUGAGAAGCAGCUUGACACGUAAUCCCACACUGAACUUGGCUACCAGAGUUGUAACCAAAAUCAAAGAUGUUCCAAGGGUCAGUGACUCAGACCACCCGGUGACUUGGCUGUGGUUUCCUGUGAGUCAGGCCUGCUAGACAACCCUGGACAGAGGUGAACGGGAAACUGGGCCAGAGACAAGCUAGAGAGACCAGCGAUGGACAAUACAGACAUGCAGGCCUCCUCCGCCCCCAGCACUGGGGUCAGAAGGGCAGGCAAACUGUGAGUCCCAGACACUUGUGCCUGAGUGGUGCAGCUCUUCUGUGUCGACCUGAUGGUGGUGGGUGGAGAGGACCCGAGUGCAGCCAUGCCUUUCCCGGAGCAGAGCCGGCCCGAUAGAGGAUGCAGGCGGACGGGGAAAGCCAGCUGUUUUCUUUCAAUACCAAAGCACACGGAGGCUGCUGUGGCCUCCCUGGCUUCCUUCCCCUCUGCCUCUUGCAUUCUUCCCCCUCACUCAGCAUCUCCUGAUGCUGGUGCAUGUCUGUGAUACAGAAGGCACUUGAGCAUGUCAAGGAGCCAAGGAACAAACGCGGAAAUGUCUGCUGCAUUUCCUCGAGAGCUCAAUGACGUGAAGUGUCCCCAGGACGAAGCCGAUACCACCUUAGUCCUCCUCCCAGCCCACAGCAGCUGCCUGGUCUUGGCUCAUCUCCACCCAGGUCUCAAGAUAGUUACCGCUUAAAACGACUGGGAGCUGGUGGGCGGAGGAGUCAGGUGUUUUGCGGCACAAGUCUGAGGGCCAGGUACGUUCUCAGUGUGCACCUAAAAAGCUGUCAGCGGCAGCACGUGCCUGGAAUACCAGCAUGGACCCCAGGGACCCCGCACUGUGAUUUCCCCGCGCUGGUGCCUACUGCAAUCUGGCUAACUCUCAGAACCUAAGGAACCGGACCUUGAUACCAACGUCACGGUGGGGGGGGGGGGGCUCUAACGGGGUCACAUACGGGAACCUCACUACAGGGCAUGCGGGGCUCCUCCCUGCAACCCGUCUGGCAUCUCUAACUUCCCGUCUCACUGGAUUCUCAGGCCCGAAGAGCGGACUCUAUAAUUAGACUAUUCUCCCGUGGAGUUCCUCCCAGCCUCAUGCCUCUCUGUUUUCCUCCGAUUGUCUGCCUCUUCCUUUCCCACCCACAACGUGAGGUUGCUGUCGGGUGUGCAGGAAAUGUGUUAAAGGCACUGAUGUUUGUGUUGCUGCCCGGUCGCAGGGGCUUCGCUCCCUGGGGAAUGUCUGAAAUGUGGUCGGGCGGGCCAGCCCACAUUCCCACCAGCACUGGGCCAGAAGAUUGUCAUUAGCAGAAGGUCCUGCGAGAGCCAUGUGCCGUCUAUGGGCACCAGCUUCGGAGACUCGGGUCCAGUCUGCACCAGCACUGCCUGGGAGCCUGGCUGAGCCCUGAUUGUGUGAGUGCAGCUUCGAAUGUCAGCAUUCCCCUCCAAAAAAACUUACAGAAGUUGAAUUAAAAUAAGAGGAGAACUUUUUGAAACUUGUAGGAAACCUGGGACUUAGACUCUCCCCUUUAGACUCUCCAGCGCAGCGUGCUGCAGCUAACACGGCGGAUGAAAACUACUGCUGGCUCAGAGCCAGAUUCAGGCCACCACUUCUUUAAAUAAAGUUUUAUUGAGACACAGUCAUUGUUCACACAUAUUCUGUGGCUGCCUUCUUGCUACAGCAGGAUGGUAGCUACAACAGACCGCAUGACCCACAAGCCAAAAUGUUUCCUAUCUGGCUCUCUGUAGGUUUGUCGACCACUGAUGGGAAAUCAAGCUUCUAGACCUUCAGGCUCAUGUGAUCACAUGGCAGGUCACGAAGCUUAGCACCCAUGAAGGGCUUGACAGCACACAACAGACAAAAAUUAACUCAAAACCUAAACACACUGUGAAUCUGAGGUGUGCCUGGCAGGGCUCACAUGUGAUGCACGGAGUCAGGUCACUGCAGCCAUGAACACAUGACAUGAGAAGUCUGUGCUCUGCAUGUUACGUACCACGAAUGCGCCUGUGUCACCUCAGCUCAGAUUUGAGACUAUCGCCUGUUGCAAACUAUGGGUUUACACGUAACAUACAAAGUUUCCUACCCUUGUAGAAGCAUAACUGUUUACACAGGGAAAACAAGGCCUUCUCAUGAUUUCUAACCAUUAUUCCUGAGCAUGUACGCAUCAGUGCGUACACAUCAGGUGAGCACGUCUUUAGAUUGUAUUGUAUGAGAUGAAUAGGCCCCUCUGUCUCGUUAAUAUGCAAAUUUGCCUUCCUCACCAACAAAAGUUAUAUUAUAUGUAUGGCAACAAGUUACUUUAAAAUAAACUGCU